rnacentral:rRNA from 1 species
GACGAACCGAGCGAACGUUAUUCGGAAUCACUGGGCUUAAAGGGCGCGUAGGCGGGCCGUCAAGUCCGGGGUGAAAGCCUCCAGCUUAACUGGAGAAGUGCCUCGGAUACUGGCGGUCUCGAGGGAGAUAGGGGCGUGCGGAACUUCCGGUGGAGCGGUGAAAUGCGUAGAUAUCGGAAGGAACACCGGUGGCGAAAGCGGCGCGCUGGAUCUCUUCUGACGCUGAGGCGCGAAAGCCAGGGGAGCGAACGGG